GUGUGAAGAGGAUGUACUAAAUUCUUGCCAUAAAAUCUGGCAGCAGAAUCUUCUUCACCUCUUUUUUGUUUUUUUGUUUGACUUCCUAGGUUCUUCAUUGACUUUUGUAUAUUCUACUGUAGCUCUGUAAAAUCUGUCCACUUUGCGAAAACCUUCUCGGCAGGCCGCAAGAUGUUGAACUGCAGAAUGGGCGUUUCAUCCUCCUAAAGGAUGUCUUGAAUUUCAAAUAUCUUUGCUGAGUAUCCAUCCUCAAACCUCACAAAGGCAAACAGACCUGAAAAGACCAAUACAUUAACACUAGAAGCACUGAGCAGUCAAAAUUACCAUUGUGGGAUUUAAAAAACAAUCCCACGCACUGCUCAGAACCAAUACAAACAGACAAUUGUGCAAGUACAUUUUUUUUCAGACAGAUACUAUUAGCUGUUGUGGCCAGCACCUACCUCCUGUGUCAUCAGCAUCAAGAGAAGGAUCUUCUUGCUCCAUCUCCUUCACUUUAGGUGCUGGCUUGCGCUGUCUAUUUGGCAACUCUAGCUGGCAACUCUAACUCUAGCUGAGACUUCUUCAUUCUUGAUCAUUUCAAGCUGGUGGGUGACAUCAAAUGCAAUCAAAACACUGAUGCAAAAUGUAUUUCAAAUUUAGCAUACAACUAUUAGUAAGACAAUGGUAAAGAGUGUUUCCCACAAGAAUAGCUACACCUGUCACAGAAUGUUUGAUGUGUGGUUACCAAUGGUGACAGGGACUCACCAUCAUAUUGGAAGGCCAAGCCUUUGAAAGGGGGAAGUUCAUUGUUUCCCAACUGCCUGAAUUACACAGACUGUCUGUAUGGGGUAAUGCUAUUAGCUACUAAUUGGGAGACUGGUACUUCACUUCAAAUGCACAAGCUGAUUGGAGACAGAAACUCAUGACAUAUAGAUUCUCUGCAUAUUCAACCCCUUUUCACCCCUGGAACACAGGAAUACAGGAUAACAUUAACUUACACUUUCCACCUCCUUUAACAGCCUAUGUGGUGUAAUUCAGUCCUCAACGUUUUAUUUUAUAUACCAAAUAUACAUUGAAAAUAUUGUUGCAAAAACAAAUUAAACAUUAUAUAGAUAACUGAAGGACAUUAGGUAGUAGGCCCAUAAACAUAUAUGAUCCCAUUUCAGAUGCAUUAGCUAGCUCCAACACAUACUAGGUUGUUGUGUGGCUUGGUCUUGUGGGGUUAGUUAACCACCACACACUUCAAACGUUUGAGAAAGGCCUCUAUUGAAGUUAGCCAUGGUGGCAUGGGAUCGCUAAUUGUAAUGCUCACCUACAUUUGUAAUGUUAUCUUUUUACUUCUGCUUUCAACACAAGCUCUAGUUAGGUAAUGUUGGCUAGCUUUGUAAAAUCAUGUCUCAGAUAGCCAAAGUUACCCAAACUAAUAACACUAACGUUAGUAACAUUAGCCAAAUAAAUUAGCUACUAGCAAGCGUUUGACAGCUAAUUGUCAGCUAGCUAGCUAAGAUAAGCUAACGUUAGCUAGCUGAUAGCUAGUCUGGCUAAAAUUACAUUAUGGUGCUUAUUUGAUGGGAGGGAAAUGCAAUUCAGUUAUACACACCUUGUUUAACGUUAUUUGAGUACUUAGAGUGAGCGAGUCAUGAGUGUAGCCUGCUACAAAUUUUGAAUCAUGACCGUUUAGCUAGUGAAUCCCUCUGAGGCGCCAAGCUGCUCGCCAACUACCAAUCAAUGAAGUUGAAUAGAUUACAUACUUUUACUUAACCAAUAGGGUAGUCUAAAAUAUGUCACUGCAUUUAAGGAGCAAAUCCCUAAAUACCAAAAACAACAAGAACAAGAGGGAAAAUGUUUACUUCCUAGUUUUUAUAUAGGAACAAAUUAAUGUCCCUUGGCGUUUAUCUUUUCAUUUGUUCUUAGUCUGAAGCAAGGACACUUUCUAAAGGCGUCCAACAAUAAGAAACGAUCUUGUAAGUAUAGGCUACCUGAAGCAUGCCAAUAUCAUUUUCUUAUUAACACUACAAUUUUCCCAAUGGUUGUUGUUGGUUUAGCUGUUCGCAAAUUUUAAUUACACAGUGUCCAGAAUGACUGAAAGGCAUGACUCAUCGCGUCGUUGGAGAAAAAAACUGUCGGGGCCCCUUAUGAAACGACAUAGACGUCAUAGGACUGAACAUGUACAGCUGGGUAUGGAGCAUAACUCAGGAAGGCUGGGGGAAAGCACAAAUUAAAGUUCAGGAUCAUCACAACAGAUGGAGCAUUCCAACCCAAGACCAGAAGCCUCAUAUACAGAGCAAAAUAUUGAGGAAAUCCACAUUGAGGAAGAUUGGGAUGUCUUUGAAGAGGAGUCUCUUGCCAUGGAGUCAGCCUUCAUGGACUAAACUAGGGAGGAGUUUCAUGAUACCAUGGAGGAGUCUGCCUUUGAUGAUUGUGUAAACUGGGAUGAGGAAUCUGAAAGUGUUGCUGGCAGAGAUGGAGCUUCCUCAACAUGCAAGGAGGAUUCAGUGAUCAAUGCGGAACAAACACUCUAUGACAAUGCCCCUACAACUGUUGCUGAGUGCCUUCUUAUCAUAAUGACCUAUAUAAAUUGUCAGUCACUGGAAAGGCCCUCAUUGACUUACUGAAACUGAUUACGUUGCUUUGUCCAGAGCAGCUUAACACAGGUUGUUUGAGCAGCAUAAACAAAUUCAGAUACUUUUCCCCCUAUUCUGCUGCAGUAUCCUAUAUCUUGCACAGGUAUUGUAGUCAUUGUUUGGUAUUAGUUGAGAAGGAUGAUAGCAUAUGUCAAUCUUGUGGUGUCAAUGUGCUGAAAGAGGAAGCAACUGUAACGUGGGUCGUAUAAAGGGGACCAAGGCGCAGCGUGUGAAGUGCUCAUAUUUACUUUUAAUGAAUAUACGUUUUGACAAAACGACCGACAACAGUUCCGUCAGGUGACAUACACUAAACAGAAAACAUCUACCCACAAAACCCAGGAAGAAAAACCCCUACUUAAAUAUGAUCUCCAAUCAGAGGCAACGAGGACCAGCUGCCUCCAAUUAGAGAUCAAUCCCAACAUAGAAAUAGAAAAACUAGAACUUAAACAUAGAAAUAGAAAACCCAAAACACCCCCUGUCACGCCCUGACCUACUCUACUAUAGAAAAUGACAUCUUACUAGGGUCAGGACGUGACAGCAACAUCUUUUAUUGGAGCUUCUAUCGAGGAGCAACUGCAGAUGCUGUUUGCAAAAGAGGGUUUCAAAGAAAAACUGAAUUUCAGAUUCAACAGGCAGAAAAAGAGAAGAGAUAACAUUGAGGAUAUAUAUGAUGGAGAGGUGUACAGAAAAUAUGCAACUGUUGGUGGGCCAUUAAGCGAUCCUAGAAAUAUAUAAUUUACCUGGAACACUGAUGGAGUGCCUAUUUUUAAAUCAUCAAAAUUCUCAGUCUGGCCAUUUUAUUGUAUCAUUAAUGAGUUGAGCUACAGUGAACACACUAAAAGGGAACAUAUGAUUUUUGCUGGACUUUGGUUUUGGGACCUCAAACCUUCCAUGUUGAUGUCACGUCCUGACCAGUAAGGGGUCAUUUUGUUAUGAUAGUUUGGUCAGGCCGUGGCAGGGGGUGUUUGUUUUGUGUGUUUUUUUGGGGGGGUUGAUCUAUGUUAUUCUAUGUUUAAAUAUCUAGUUUUUCUGUUUCUAUGUUGGAAUUGUUUGGGGUUGGUCUCUAAUUGGAGGCAGCUGAAUCUCAUUGCCUCUGAUUAGAGACCAUAUUUAUGUAGGGGUUUUCUCAUUGUGUUUUGUGGGUGGUUAUUGUUUGGCUGUCGUUAUUGGUUUCAGUGUUAAGAUCAAAAUAAAUACAUGAUGAGCACUAACCACGCUGCGCCUAGGUCUACUCCUUCAGACGGCCGUUACAGAACCACCCACCACAAGAAGACCAAGCAGCGUGGAAAAGAGGACUGGACAUGGGAGGACAUCCUGGAUGGCAAGGGAUCCUACACGUGGGAAGAGAUCCUGGCCGGAAGGGAUCGCCUCCCAUGGGAACAGGUGGAGGCAGCCAGGAGAGUGGAGGCAGCAGGAAGGAAGGCCCACCGGCAAUGUUAUGAGGGAACACGGCUGGCAAGGAAGCCUGAGCGGCAGCCCCAGAAUUGCGUUUGGCGUGGAGAGCACCGUGCUAUUCGGAAGUGCGCACGGUCUCACCCAUCCGCACGCACAGUCCGGUGCGGUCGAUACCAGCCCCCCGCAAGUGCCGUGCUAGAGUGGGCAUCCAGCCAGGGAGAAGUGCGCCGGUGCAGCACAUCUGGCCUACAAGUGCAUCUCCUAGGCCCAGGCUACCCCGCGCCUGCUCUACGCACGGCAGCCAUCAUUCCUCAGCACAGCCCAGUUCGCCCUGUGGCAGCACUCCGCCCGUGCCGGGCUACAGUAACA